rnacentral:rRNA from 1 species
GGGGGGGGGGGGGGGGGGGGGGGGUGGGGGGGGGGGGAGGGGUGGAGGGGGAGCGGGCUUCUCCGGGGGGGUUGCGGACGGGUGGGUGACGCGUAGGGGACCUGCCUGGUAGCGGGGGAUGACGAUUGGAGACGAUAGCUAAUACCGCAUAACAGUAGAUGUUGCAUGACAUUUGCAUCAAAGGUGCCAUUGCCUCACUACCAGAUGGACCUGCGUUGUAUUAGCUAGUUGGUGAGGUAACGGCUCACCAAGGCGACGAUACAUAGCCGACCUGAGAGGGUGAUCGGCCACACUGGGACUGAGACACGGCCCAGACUCCUACGGGAGGCAGCAGUAGGGAAUCUUCGGCAAUGGACGGAAGUCUGACCGAGCAACGCCGCGUGAGUGAAGAAGGUUUUCGGAUCGUAAAGCUCUGUUGUAAGAGAAGAACGAGUGUGAGAGUGGAAAGUUCACACUGUGACGGUAUCUUACCAGAAAGGGACGGCUAACUACGUG